UUUCAUGCUCAUGCUUCUAAGAGGCGAAAGGCAAAUUAUAUUUAUGGGCUUUGAGAUGAAAGUGAUCAAUUGUCUUUUGAUGCUAAUAGUAUGUCUGAUAUUGUUUUAAGCUAAGCUGAGAGGAGACUUGCAUGGUAUUUCGGUUUGUCGUUGGAGUUCUACAGCUGUUUGUUGAAAACAAUUUUCUAUUUUUCUGGGCCACUAAUUCUGAAUGUAUGACCGUGAUGCAUAUUCUUGAUGUUUAUAGGCAAGCUUUAGGGCAAGGUUGAGAGGUUCAUUUCUUAGCCAGAAUCCCUUCCAAGUCGUAUCUUCAAAGCCAAAGAUGGAAAAGUUGUCCACUGCAAAUUCGGGGCCGUGAAUUUCCUACUAAUAUGAUAUUGUCGUUUGAUGAGUUUGACAUUAUUCUCGGUAUAGAUUUUAAGCACUGCACGAUGAUGUUGUCAACUGUAGAUAGAAACUAAUUGUAGUGAGAUGUCAGGAUGGUGAAUGGAUAAAUGUUGAGGUUGACAGAUUCGAUUAUUCUACCAAUAUCAUAUCAGUUAUAUCUGCCAGAAAAUUGAUCAGAAAGGGUUGUGAAACAUAUCUAACUUACAUUUGAAAUAGCAAAGUACUAGAAUCAAAGAUAGAACAA